rnacentral:rRNA from 1 species
UACGUAGGGGGCAAGCGUUGUCCGGAUUUACUGGGCGUAAAGAGCGUGUAGGCGGCCAAGCAGGUCCGUUGUGAAAACUGGAGGCUUAACCUCCAGACGUCGACGGAAACCGCGUGGCUAGAGUCCGGAAGAGGAGAGUGGAAUUCCUGGUGUAGCGGUGAAAUGCGCAGAUAUCGGAAAGAACACCAACGGCGAAAGCACUCUGCUGGGCCGACACUGACACUGAGAGACGAAAGCUAGGGGAGCGAAUGGG